rnacentral:rRNA from 1 species
UGCGAACUCCUACGGGAGGCAGCAGUGGGGAAUUUUGGACAAUGGGGGCAACCCUGAUCCAGCAAUGCCGCGUGAGUGAAGAAGGCCUUCGUGGUGUAAAGCUCUUUUGUCAGGGAAGAAACGGUAGUAGCUAAUAUCUAUUACUAAUGACGGUACCCGAAGAAUAAGAACCGCCGAACUACGUGCCAGCAGCCGCGGUAAUACGUAGGGUGCAAGCGUUAAUCGGAAUUACUGGGCGUAAAGCGUGCGCAGGCGGUUGUGUAAGUCAGAUGUGAAAUCCCCGGGCUCAACCUGGGAAUUGCAUUUGAGACUGCACGGCUAGAGUGUGGCAGAGGGGGGUAGAAUUCCACGUGUAGCAGUGAAAUGCGUAGAUAUGUGGAGGAAUACCGAUGGCGAAGGCAGCCCCCUGGGAUAACACUGCCGCUCAGGCACGAAAGCGUGGGGAGCAAACAGGAUUAGAAACCCUUGUAGUCCAGAUG